rnacentral:rRNA from 1 species
AAUCAACGCUGGCGGCGUGCCUCAGACAUGCAAGUCGAACGCGAAAGUUUCCUUCGGGAAGCGAGUAGAGUGGCGUCCGGGUGAGUAACACGUAGGUAAUCUACCUUUGGGUGGGGAAUAACAACCGGAAACGGUUGCUAAUACCGCAUAAUGCAGCGGCACCACAUGGUGACAGUUGUUAAAAGCGGGGGAUCGCAAGACCUCGCGCCUAAAGAGGAGCCUGCGGCGGAUUAGCAGUUGGUAAGGUAACGGCUUACCAAGGCAACGAUCCGUAGCCGGCCUGAGAGGGCGGUCGGCCACACUGACACUGAAAUACGGGUCAGACUCCUACGGGAGCAGCAGUCGGGAAUUUUGGGCAAUGGGCGAAAGCCUGACCCAGCAACGCCGCGUGAAGGAUGAAAUCCCUC